rnacentral:rRNA from 1 species
UACGAAGGGGGCUAGCGUUGCUCGGAAUCACUGGGCGUAAAGGGUGCGUAGGCGGGUCUUUAAGUCAGGGGUGAAAUCCUGGAGCUCAACUCCAGAACUGCCUUUGAUACUGAGGAUCUUGAGUACGGGAGAGGUGAGUGGAACUGCGAGUGUAGAGGUGAAAUUCGUAGAUAUUCGCAAGAACACCAAUGGCGAGGGCAGCUCGCUGGGACGGUACGUGACGCUGAGACGCGAAAGC